AACAAACUAAUAGAAUAACCUGGAAAGGUUGGCCAUAGAGGGUGAUAGCCCCGUAUAUGAAAGUGCGUUUAUACUUAGCAGUAUCCUGAGUAGGGCGGGACACGUGAAAUCCUGUCUGAAGCUGGGGAGACCACUCUCCAACCCUAAAUACUACUACUAGACCGAUAGUGCACAAGUACCGUGAGGGAAAGGUGAAAAGAACUGAGGUGAUCAGAGUGAAUAGAAACUGAAACCAUUUGCUUACAAUCAUUCAGAG
rnacentral:rRNA from 1 species